rnacentral:rRNA from 1 species
AUGACUAUAGCCCUUGGUAGAAUUCCUAAAGAAGAAAAUGAUCUAUUUGAUACUAUGGAUGACUGGUUACGAAGGGACCGUUUCAUUUUUGUAGGAUGGUCUGGCCUAUUGCUCUUUCCUUGUGCUUAUUUCGCUUUAGGGGGUUGGUUUAUAGGGACAACUUUUGUAACUUCUUGGUAUACCCAUGGAUUGGCUAGUUCCUAUUUGGAAGGUUGUAAUUUCUUAACCGCAGCAGUUUCUACCCCUGCAAAUAGUUUAGCACACUCUUUGUUGCUACUAUGGGGGCCCGAAGCACAAGGAGAGUUUACUCGUUGGUGUUAA